UACGUAGGGUGCGAGCGUUGUCCGGAAUUAUUGGGCGUAAAGAGCUCGUAGGCGGUCUGUUGCGUCGGUUGUGAAAACCCGGGGCUCAACUCCGGGCCUGCAAUCGAUACGGGCAGACUAGAGUUCGGUAGGGGAGACGUGGAAUUCCUGGUGUAGCGGUGAAAUGACGCAGAUAUCAGGAGGAACACCGGUGGCGAAGGCGGGUCUCUGGGCCGAAACUGACGCUGAGGAGCGAAAGCGUGGGGAGCGAACAGG
rnacentral:rRNA from 1 species